UAAGAUUUUAGUGUAUAAAUAAUAGUUAGUGUACCUUUGCGAGUGUAUAAAUAAUUAUUUUAAGUAAAAUCACAUUUAUUUGAUAGGAACCUGAAACAAAAGUUGAAUCUGUUGCUUUGGUUACUCAUCAUUAUGAGCAACAAGAAGAUAUGGCAAGGGCUUUGGAACGAAGGAUCAUAAGCAAAUCUACCUGUGUGCAUACAAGAUGAUUCAACCAAGCAAGCUACCAUGUCUGACUACAAUUCUGUCUUCACUGUUUCAUCUGGUUGAUGAAGACCUUGAAAUCAAAGCUUUUUAUGCUGGGCAUGUGUUGGGUGCAGCAAUGUUUUUGAUAAAAGUAGGAUCACAAUAAGUAGUCUACACA